CCUGAGAAACCCAAAAGAUCGAAUGGGGAGAUUCAUCGUCAGCGAUCCUGGCACGUGUGCGGUUCGUGAUGCUGCGAAGACUUCGGUCUCGUAGCACGCGUCCGUAUGGUUUUAUUGCCAGGUGUCGUCGGCGUGCACUUCUCCCCUAGUAGGACGUCGCGACCCGUUGGGUGUCGGUCUACGGCCCGGGUGGGCGCCUGUCAUGUGUCACGCUUCACGGCGUCAUGUGGCAGACCCCCGGUUGUCUGGCCGGCUGCUCGGCGGUACUCGCACGGUAUCGGGCCGCAAAUAUUCGAACUGCGUCCGGCCCGCCGCAAGCGAGGUCAGUGUUUCCCGGAUGUACGGACCUAGCGCCGUCACCGGGCCUGGCCAGCUGUUGGUUGGCGGUGUCCUGGGACAGGCUCUCAAUUAAAUUAUGAUACCGGUCGGCGACGCUACUGCUUUGGGUACUUUCAGGACCCGUCUUGAAACACGGACCAAGGAGUCUAACAUGUGCGCGAGUCAUUGGGAACUUGUAAGCCUAAAGGCGCAAUGAAAGUGAAGGUCGGCCCUGCGCCGACCGAGGGAGGAUGGACCGCGUCACGAUGCGGCCCCGCACUCCCGGGGCGUCUCGUUCUCAUUACGAGAAGAGGCGCACCCAGAGCGUACACGUUGG
rnacentral:rRNA from 1 species